AUUUUAGUCUUAUUAGAGGAACCUGUUUUUUAAUUGAUAAUCCACGAUUAAUUUUACUUAUUUUAUUUUAAUUCAUAUAUCGCUGUCAUGAAUAUAUUUAAAAAUUAAUUUUCUUUAUUUAUUGUUAUAAUUUAUGUUAAGUCAAGAUGUGGUUUAUAAAUAAGUGUAUAAUGGGUUACAUUAAAUUUUAUUUAUGGAUUUUAAAUGAAAAUUAAAAUGAAAUUGGAUUUAAUAGUAAAUUUAUUUAUUUAAUUAAUAUGAAGAAAGAUCUAAAAUAUGUACAUAUUGCCCGUCAUUCUUAUUAAAAAUAAGACAAGUCGUAACAAAGUAAAUGUACUGGAAAGUGUAUUUAGAAAGAUUAUAUUUUAUAUAAAUAAAUAUCUAAA
rnacentral:rRNA from 1 species